rnacentral:rRNA from 1 species
UGAACGCUAGCUACAGGCUUAACACAUGCAAGUCGAGGGGCAGCAUGGUCUUAGCUUGCUAAGGCCGAUGGCGACCGGCGCACGGGUGAGUAACACGUAUCCAACCUGCCGUCUACUCUUGGACAGCCUUCUGAAAGGAAGAUUAAUACAAGAUGGCAUCAUGAGUCCGCAUGUUCACAUGAUUAAAGGUAUUCCGGUAGACGAUGGGGAUGCGUUCCAUUAGAUAGUAGGCGGGGUAACGGCCCACCUAGUCUUCGAUGGAUAGGGGUUCUGAGAGGAAGGUCCCCCACAUUGGAACUGAGACACGGUCCAAACUCCUACGGGAGGCAGCAGUGAGGAAUAUUGGUCAAUGGGCGAGAGCCUGAACCAGCCAAGUAGCGUGAAGGAUGACUGCCCUAUGGGUUGUAAACUUCUUUUAUAAAGGAAUAAAGUCGGGUAUGGAUACCCGUUUGCAUGUACUUUAUGAAUAAGGAUCGGCUAACUCCGUGCCAGCAGCCGCGGUAAUACGGAGGAUCCGAGCGUUAUCCGGAUUUAUUGGGUUUAAAGGGAGCGUAGAUGGAUGUUUAAGUCAGUUGUGAAAGUUUGCGGCUCAACCGUAAAAUUGCAGUUGAUACUGGAUAUCUUGAGUCCAGUUGAUGCAGGCGGAAAUCGUGGGGUAGCGGUGAAAUGCUUAGAUAUCACCAAGAACUCCCAUUGCGAAGGCAGCCUGCUAAGCUGCAACUGACAUUGAGGCUCGAAAGUGUGGGUAUCAAACAGGAUUAGAUACCCUGGUAGUCCACACGGUAAACGAUGAAUACUCGCUGUUUGCGAUAUACGGCAAGCGGCCAAGCGAAAGCGUUAAGUAUUCCACCUGGGGAGUACGCCGGCAACGGUGAAACUCAAAGGAAUUGACGGGGGCCCGCACAAGCGGAGGAACAUGUGGUUUAAUUCGAUGAUACGCGAGGAACCUUACCCGGGCUUAAAUUGCAGAUGAAUUACGGUGAAAGCCGUAAGCCGCAAGGCAUCUGUGAAGGUGCUGCAUGGUUGUCGUCAGCUCGUGCCGUGAGGUGUCGGCUUAAGUGCCAUAACGAGCGCAACCCUUGUUGUCAGUUACUAACAGGUUCCGCUGAGGACUCUGACAAGACUGCCAUCGUAAGAUGUGAGGAAGGUGGGGAUGACGUCAAAUCAGCACGGCCCUUACGUCCGGGGCUACACACGUGUUACAAUGGGGGGUACAGAGGGCCGCUACCACGCGAGUGGAUGCCAAUCCCCAAAACCUCUCUCAGUUCGGACUGGAGUCUGCAACCCGACUCCACGAAGCUGGAUUCGCUAGUAAUCGCGCAUCAGCCACGGCGCGGUGAAUACGUUCCCGGGCCUUGUACACACCGCCCG